UACAGAGGUGGCAAGCGUUGUUCGGAAUUACUGGGCGUAAAGGGCGCGUAGGCGGGUGACCAAGUCAGGGGUGAAAUCUUUCGGCCCAACCGGAAAAGUGCCUCUGAUACUGGUCGUCUUGAGGGAGGUAGGGGUCGAGGGAACUGGUGGUGGAGCGGUGAAAUGCGUAGAUAUCACUAGGAACGCCGGUGGCGAAAGCGCUCGACUGGACCUCUUCUGACGCUGAGGCGCGAAAGCCAGGGGAGCAAACGGG
rnacentral:rRNA from 1 species